rnacentral:rRNA from 1 species
GACGAACGCUGGCGGCGUGCUUAACACAUGCAAGUCGAACGAAGAGCGAUGGAAGCUUGCUUCUAUCAAUCUUAGUGGCGAACGGGUGAGUAACGCGUAAUCAACCUGCCCUUCAGAGGGGGACAACAGUUGGAAACGACUGCUAAUACCGCAUACGAUCUAAUCUCGGCAUCGAGGAUAGAUGAAAGGUGGCCUCUACAUGUAAGCUAUCACUGAAGGAGGGGAUUGCGUCUGAUUAGCUAGUUGGAGGGGUAACGGCCCACCAAGGCGAUGAUCAGUAGCCGGUCUGAGAGGAUGAACGGCCACAUUGGGACUGAGACACGGCCCAGACUCCUAUGGGAGGCAGCAGUGGGGAAUCUUACGCAAUGGACGAAAGUCUGACGGAGCAACGCCGCGUGAGUGAUGACGGCCUUCGGGUUGUAAAGCUCUGUUAAUCGGGAAGAAAGGCCUUCUUGCGAAUAGUGAGAAGGAUUGACGGUACCGGAAUAGAAAGCCACGGCUAACUACGUG